GGCAGGAAUACAAAAAUCAAGACAGGGGCCCGUUCUUCGUACGUCGCUAACUCGGUUAGCUGGAUUUGAUUGUUGACGAUUUGGCAAGAUCUUGAUUCUUCGAAGCUCAUCCUGGACUUGCUGUCAUAGCAACAGGUGCGCAAUCUUGAGCAGGUUUAUUUCAUGUAAACAGGAUUAGAUCCCGGCUUUAUAAGUGGAGGUGAUAUGGGAAGUCUUUCGCAGACAUGUCUUGUCCGUUUUUACGUCAGGAAUCCGUAGCUGAAGGUGCCAGAAUCAUUCAAAGAGCUUUUCGAAUUAAUCGCGUUUUGUGAGAUCGACAGGAUCCUUUAGCGCAGCGCGAUAGAGAUAUUGUUUUUCUCUUGAGGGUGUAAUCUACAUUAUCAACAUUUUGGAGCCACACGUUAAAUGUUCGACUCGUCGCAGUCGGGCUUUAACAACUGCACAAACAGUUUGUAUAGCUUUGUGACUCUUUGCGAGUGGCACUGUCCUUUACACUAUUGGAGAUGCAGAAAACUUGUGUAAACGUGCUGUAUGUCGUGCCAUUCGCCAAGUUUAUCUGUCACUCAAACAGUUUUUAGGGGGCUUUGUGAUAUUUCCACGACUCUUAAGACCACAGGCUGUGAAGCAGAUUUUUUUGACAUUGCAGGUAUAUUUUAAUUGUUAAUGAAGACCAUGCAAAGAUGAUCAUGCCACAAAGUAGCCUAGGACUUACAGUAUUUGUUUCUCAGGCUUCCCUAACGUUACUGGUGCCAUAGACUGCACACAUGUCCCCAUCAAGGCCCCAAUGAAGGGGAUUUUGUGAACUGAAAGGGAUUUCACGGUGUAAAUGUGCAAAUGGUGUGCGACUCCAUGUUCCACAUCACAAAUGUGAAGCCACAUGGCCUGGUUCUGUGCAUGACUCCAGGAUUUUCAGAGUCACAUUUAUGCACAUUAUUUGAACGUGGUGCUUGCGAUGAGAUCCUGCUUGGUGACAGGGGCUAUGCCUGCAGGCAGUACUUCAUGACACCAUUCCCUGGACCACAAACCCGUUACAAUACAGCUUUAGAGAGUACAAGGGCACGCGUUGAAAUGACCUUUGGCCAACUAAAGGAAGAUUUCAGUGUCUUAAGGGUCUGAGGGUUGCACCUGACAGGGCCUGUGACAUUGUUACAUGUGUCAUCCUCCACAAUAUUGCCACCAUCAGAAAGGAGAGGACCCCUGUGGUGGAGGUGCAGCCUGAUGAUGACCUCCAGACAGUGCACUUGGACCAACCUAGUGGCAGAGCUGCACAGGUCAGAAUUGUGGAAAACCAUUUUUGAAUUCUUUUUUACACAAACCUUCAUUAAAUUAAUUAUAGAAGACAAGACAACAUGCUUAGUUCAUGGAGUUUUAUUUCCAUUAUUGUCUCUCAGUAAAAGCCAGUGAUGGUCAUCUUUUGCCUGCAAUAAGAUAUAUUGUUAUCCAAGGGCAACAAUAGUGCUCUUUGUUAAAAAUUGUGUUUUUAGCACUUACUCUGAAGUUUCUUUUGAAGCAACUCAAUCUCUAGUGCCAGUUUCUUCUUUAAGGUGUCAAGUUAAAUUUCUCCCCUCAAUUUUUGUUUUUUAAUAGCAAAAUACUCAUUUACAACAUUUAUACAAAUUUUAUGUUGAAUAUUCUGUUUAUAUAGGGUAUGGAUAUCCCCCUGUGCCAUUAAAAAAAAAAAAAAAACUCAACUCAACACAAGCCUCA